CCGAUACGAAGGCCUGACUCUCCAACGGGCCACCUGUACAGCAAGAGCAAGAGCAGGUUGCGCGCGCAUCCAGGCAGCCUCUCCAUUCCCUCAGCAUUACAAUCCAUGGGGGCACAGCCGACGUCAUCGUUAAUCAGAAAAAUAUGCGGGUUCUUCGGAGCAGCAAGCCACGCUCCUACAAUUCCUCAAACUCCCGUGAAUCAAGUGUCAACAAACAGCGUCCGUUCAAAAUGCCACUUCCUGACCUGUUUCAGACAGAGGCACUACACCGUGAUAUCCUCAACAGGAAUAAAACAGCAUUCAACCAGGUUAUUGAGCGGUACAUUUCCUUGGCACACGGACUUCCUCCUCCACUAGAUGAAUGUCCCUACCAGUCUCCACACAACAGCAAAAACAAACCAAGUUCAACUCCCUUAUACCCCCAGAAGAACCUUUCUAGGACAGGUGCAACCAUAACAACCAGCACUGUCUCCCCAGCGAUCUCAUUGAGGCAAGAUUCAUGUUGGGAUGAGGAUGAUCUUGUUAGAGAAGUAGAGGAAUCACUGCAGAGGAGGAAACAACAGCUUGGGUUAAGUGAUGACUUUAUAUGUGAGGAUAAUGAGGAUAAUGAGGAUGACCCCACUUGGGAUGGCUCUCAUUACCAUGCCAGGGUGAAUUUACCCAGCAGAUUGCAUAAAAAGAGAAAACUUUCUGAUAAUCUUAUAACAAACACAGUGGGGUCAUCUGAUGAAAACAAGUCUUGAAAGAAAGCAAAAGCACCUGUGGAUGAAGUAAGCCUUUCCCAAAACAAAACUGCUGAUUUGAGGAAGCUUUCUGUGCAGGACAGGCUUUCAGAUGUGAGCAACUUACCAAGAAGAAGAGGUAGACCUCCGAAAAGAAAGUCAGUGCUGGAGGUGAAUGAUGAGGGUAAUAUAUCAAAGAAAAGAUGUAGAUUGCCCAAACAAAAGUCAGUGCAGAAGGUGAGCAAUGAUGAAAACGAAGAACCCAAACGGAGAGGCAGGCCACCCAAGAAGACUCAAACAUUGAGUCUGAACCCUACCAAGGACAGAACUUCAAACAAAAGGUCAUCUGAUGAAAACAAAGAACCCAAACGGAGGGGCAGGCCACCCAAGAAGA